rnacentral:rRNA from 1 species
UACGUAGGGUGCAAGCGUUGUCCGGAAUUAUUGGGCGUAAAGGGCUCGUAGGCGGUUUGUCGCGUCGGGAGUGAAAACCCAGGGCUUAACCCUGGGCUGGCUUCCGAUACGGGCAGGCUAGAGGUAUGCAGGGGAGAACGGAAUUCCUGGUGUAGCGGUGAAAUGCGCAGAUAUCAGGAGGAACACCGGUGGCGAAGGCGGGUCUCUGGGCCGUAACUGACGCUGAGGAGCGAAAGCGUGGGGAGCGAACAGG